GCAGCAGCACCAUGGUCUCCACCUGGUGCUUGUCGCUGGGGAUGGUGCGCAGAAACGAGGGGUAAUGCCGCUUCACUCCGAGCGUCACGCUGCUGGCCUCGUAGCUGAUCUGCGGAGGGGGGCCGGGGGGGGGUUUCAGUUCAGCGACUUCAGUGGCCUUGGCCUCAACUCAGGGCCUCCAAGUGCUGGCCCUGUGCUGGGCGCGGGGACCCGAGGAGGAGGGAGACGUGGUCCCAGCCCUGGCCCUCAAGGAGAGCUCUGGUGGACUAGGAGGCCGACCAGCUACAUCUAAAGAAGAGGCAGAAACCCAGGGGGAGGUUUGCGGGAGAAGAAGGGGAAGAGAACAAAAGCUACACCCAGUGAGAGAACUGACCCAGGAGGUUGGAAGCCGGAAGAAGGAGCACAAAAGUAGGCGUGUCUGGUCAGGGCAGGAGGCCUUACUCCUGGCAGUAAGGUAGCUAAGAUCCUUGGUCUUUAUCUGCAGGCCCUGGGGAGCCCCUUAAAUGUCUAGGCAGAGAGGUAAUCUGCCCAGACUUGUGUUUCAGGGGUGUAUCUGAUUUCAGUGAAGAAUGUGUUAGAAAAGGCUCAAGACCAGAGUCGGGAAGAACUCCCUAGGAGACUGCUGGAAUCAUCCCGAAGAGACAGCUUGGCAGCCUGAGUUCGAGCCGUGGCAGCGGUGACGGAGAAGAGGGAUGGGCCCGGCAGCUCAUAGAAGGUAAAAGCAGAGGCCGUGGUGGUGGGGGAAGGAGGAAUGUAGGCGGCGCACCGGGUUCCUGGCUUGAGGCUUGAGUGGAGGUGGUCACUCUUAAGGCAAGUGGGCAGGAAGCAGAGAGGCUGGAGUUGUAUAGGGAGGUAGGUUCAGCCGGGGGGCCCGCUGGAUGCACGAAGUGGAGACCCCGGAAGAGCAGCCAGAAAUGAGGCUCGGUGCUUAGAACUCACGACAGAAGCGAGGGAACGGGCGAUGGAGCCGUGGGGCCACGGCCUGUGGAGAGGUUCUGAAUGAACCGCCCCAAGAUCUGCCACCUGGGCGUGUGGGUUAAUUUCCAGUUGAAAAUCAUUAAAGCGCAAAAGACCCGGGGGAAACUUUGUCCUUUCCCCUAACCGCCCAAAAGAAUUUAGAGAGCUAAGCUGCCCCAGGUUCAGGAGCUUCACCACAGAGAAUUACAUUACAAUAGGAACUAGGCGAAGUAAGCAGGGGUGGGGGUGGGGGGAACCUAGCAAAGUCCCAUUUGUUAAAAUUCCUCUCCAUGUCCCGUGGUUUCUGGAUGGCCCAGCAAACAUUGUGUAAUACACAUUCACUCUCUCUUCUCCUAUGAAUUGUCUUCCUUUCCUUUGAAGUCUGACCCCUACCCACUUCUCCAUAGUUCAGGAUAGCAGAUAAGCCUCACUUUGCCUGUCUUUGAA